GACGAACGCUGGCGGCGUGCCUAAUACAUGCAAGUCGACCUUAGUGGCGAACGGGUGAGUAACACGUGGGUAACCUGCCCAUCAGAAGGGGAUAACACUUGGAAACAGGUGCUAAUACCGGAUACUGAUUGAUGGACCCACGGUGCAUUCGCUAGUUGGUGAGGUAACGGCUCACCAAGGCCACGAUGCAUAUCCGACCUUAGAGGGUGAUCGGCCACAUUGGGGUCGAGACACGGCCCAAACUCCUGCGGGAGGCAGCAGUAGUGCAUCUUCUGCAAUGGACGAAAGUCUGACCGAGCAACGCCGCGUGAGUGAAGAAGGUUUUCGGAUCGUAAAACUCUGUUGUUAGAGAAGCGGUAUCUAACCAGAAAGCCACGGCUAACUACGUGCCAGCAGCCGCGGUAAUAC
rnacentral:rRNA from 1 species